UUCCGGUUGAUCCUGCCGGACCUGACUGCUAUCGGAUUGAUACUAAGCCAUGCGAGUCAUUGUAGCAAUACAAGGCAGACGGCUCAGUAACGCGUAGUCAACCUAACCUAUGGACGGGAAUAACCUCGGGAAACUGAGUAUAAUGCCCGAUAGAACAUUAUGCCUGGAAUGGUUUAUGUUCCAAAUGAUUUAUCGCCGUAGGAUGGGACUGCGGCCUAUCAGUUUGUUGGUGAGGUAAUGGCCCACCAAGACUAUUACAGGUACGGGCUCUGAGAGGAGUAGCCCGGAGAUGGGUACUGAGACACGGACCCAGGCCCUAUGGGGCGCAGCAGGCGAGAAAACUUUGCAAUGUGCGAAAGCACGACAAGGUUAAUCCGAGUGGUUUCUGCUAAAGAAACCUUUUGUCAGUCCUAGAAACACUGAUGAAUAAGGGGUGGGCAAGUUCUGGUGUCAGCCGCCGCGGUAAAACCAGCACCUCAAGUGGUCAGG
rnacentral:rRNA from 1 species